rnacentral:lncRNA from 1 species
AAACUGUGAGGGUCCAUACCAGAUAGAUGAAGUUGUCAAGCUAAGAACAUAUCGACUAAAGCAACUACAUAGAACCCCACUCUUCCAACAUGGAAUUCGAAAAAUCUCUGAGUGUACUAUUAGUAAUGUAUCAUACAACACUAAUAGAACUCUUAUUCUCUAAAAAAAUGGUUUCUUAUCUGUUCGGCACCUCGCAACCCCCAA